rfam:Myotis lucifugus cont2.35371, whole genome shotgun sequence.
GAGACACCCUUCUGGGGCAAGACUUGCUUCAGUGGGUCUCUGGUGCUCACUGAGUCUUCCCCCUGAAUAUGUCCCU